GGGGUUGUGGCUUAGUGGUAGAGCACUUGCCUAGCAUGUGCAAGGCCUUGGGUUUGAUCCCCAACACCA
rnacentral:tRNA from 1 species